rnacentral:rRNA from 1 species
CGAAGGGUGCAAGCGUUAAUCGGAAUUACUGGGCGUAAAGCGCGCGUAGGUGGUUUGUUAAGUUGAAUGUGAAAGCCCCGGGCUCAACCUGGGAACUGCAUCCAAAACUAGGCAAGCUAGAGUAUGGCAGAGGGUGGUGGAAUUUCCUGUGUAGCGGUGAAAUGCGUAGAUAUAGGAAGGAACACCAGUGGCGAAGGCGACCACCUGGGCUAAUACUGACACUGAGGUGCGAAAGCGUGGGGAGCAAACAGGAUU